ACGGGUGAGUAACGCGUGGGAACAUACCCUUUGGUUCGGAAUAACUGAGAGAAAUUUCAGCUAAUACCGGAUGUGCCCUUCGGGGGAAAGAUUUAUCGCCAAAGGAUUGGCCCGCGUCUGAUUAUCUAGUUGGUGAGGUAACGGCCCACCAAGGCGACCAUUACUAUCUGGUCUGAGAGGAUGAUCAGCCACACUGGGACUGAAACACGGCCCAGACUCCUACGGGAGGCAGCAGUGGGGAAUAUUGGACAAUAGGGGCAACCCUGAUCCAGCCAUGCCGCGUGAGUGAUGAAGGCCUUAGGGUUGUAAAGCUCUUUCGUCACGGAAGAUAAUGACGGUACCUGAAAAAGAAGCCCCGGCUAACUUCGUGCCAACGACCGCGGUAAUACUAAGGGGGCUAGCGUUGUUCGGAAUUACUGGGCGUAAAGCACACGUACGCGGACAUUUAAGUCAGGGGUGAAAUCCCACGGCUCAACCCUGGAACUGCCUUUGAUACUGGGUGUCUUGAGUACGAGAGAGGUGAGUGGAAUUCCCAGUGUAGAGGUGACAUUCGUAGA
rnacentral:rRNA from 1 species